AGAAGCCAUGCAAAGAAAAUUUUUUGAGAUGGACCUUAACUUACAUACUUAAAGAACAUUAAACUUACAAUUUAUUCAUGGAAUCAUAUCACUAAUUGCAACUAUUUUAUCGUAAUAGGAAUGAAAACUUUGCUUAAUGUUAGGAAAGUAGCAUGUGAUGAACCUGAAGACGAUGAUAUUGUUCGCGAUUCCAAAUUUAAGUUGCCGUUAAACAAUAUUGCGGAAUUAGAAAGGUUGGAUAAUUUAUUGAAAAUGGACCGUAAAGUCGUAAGAAAAUUGAGCUAGAACUUGCAUUUUGUGGCAAGGAAGGGAACUUCAACAAAACUGUGAGCAACACUUUGAAACACGUAAUUGGCCCUGAUUUAUGGUCGUUUUACACAUUUUGUGGGAUAGAAAGCAAAGCUGGCGAAACCGUUGUUCGCAAGUUCAAAGGCCUUGACGUCUAUCAAUGCAUCGAAAAUGCGAUCCGCAAUAGAUUUCCAAAUGAGACCGUGACUGCUAUACAUGGGAAAUGUAUUGAAGUUUUCACCAAAACAAGGAAUCAGAUGAAGAAAGCCGCCAACAAAUAAACAAUUUAAUAAUUUAUUUUAAAUUGUUUAGUUAUUGUAUU